GACGGACGCUGGCGGCGUGCUUAACACAUGCAAGUCGAACGGAAAGGCCCUGCUUUUGUGGGGUGCUCGAGUGGCGAACGGGUGAGUAACACGUGAGUAACCUGCCCUUGACUUUGGGAUAACUUCAGGAAACUGGGGCUAAUACCGGAUAGGAGCUCCUGCUGCAUGGUGGGGGUUGGAAAGUUUCGGCGGUUGGGAAUGGACUCGCGGCUUAUCAGCUUGUUGGUGGGGUAGUGGCUUACCAAGGCUUUGACGGGUAGCCGGCCUGAGAGGGUGACCGGCCACAUUGGGACUGAGAUACGGCCCAGACUCCUACGGGAGGCAGCAGUGGGGAAUAUUGCACAAUGGGCGGAAGCCUGAUGCAGCAACGCCGCGUGCGGGAUGACGGCCUUCGGGUUGUAAACCGCUUUCGCCUGUGACGAAGCGUGAGUGACGGUAAUGGGUAAAGAAGCACCGGCUAACUACGUG
rnacentral:rRNA from 1 species